rnacentral:rRNA from 1 species
GGAACAGGACGUCACAGAGGGUGAGAAUCCCGUACGUGGUCGCUGGCUAUUGCCGUGUAAAGCCCCUUCGACGAGUCGAGUUGUUUGGGAAUGCAGCUCUAAAUGGGAGGUACAUUUCUUCUAAAGCUAAAUAUUGGCCAGAGACCGAUAGCGCACAAGUAGAGUGAUCGAAAGAUGAAAAGCACUUUGGAAAGAGAGUCAAACAGCACGUGAAAUUGUUGAAAGGGAAGCGCUUGCAGCCAGACUUGCUUACAGUUGCUCAUCCGGGUUUCUACCCGGUGCACUCUUCUGUAGGCAGGCCAGCAUCAGUUUGGGCGGUAGGAUAAAGGUCUCUGUCACGUACCUCCUUUCGGGGAGGCCUUAUAGGGGAGACGACAUACUACCAGCCUGGACUGAGGUCCGCGCAUCUGCUAGGAUGCUGGCGUAAUGGCUGUAAGCGGCCCGUCUUGAAACACGGACCAAGGAGUCUAACAUCUAUGCGAGUGUUUGGGUGUCAAGCCCGAGCGCGUAAUGAAAGUGAACGGAGGUGGGAACCCGCAAGGGUGCACCAUCGACCGAUCCUGAUGUCUUCGGAAGGAUUUGAGUAAGAGCAUGGCUGUUGGGACCCGAAAGAUGGUGAACUAUGCUUGAAUAGGGUGAAGCCAGAGG